rnacentral:rRNA from 1 species
AGGCUUUGAUCCUGGCUCAGGAUGAACGCUGGCGGCGUGCCUAACACAUGCAAGUCGAGCGAUUCUUUUCGGAGAAGAGCGGCGGACGGGUGAGUAACGCGUGGGUAACCUGCCCUGUACACACGGAUAACAUACCGAAAGGUAUGCUAAUACGGGAUAACAUAUUUUGAUGGCAUCAUCGAAAUAUCAAAGCUCCGGCGGUACAGGAUGGACCCGCGUCUGAUUAGCUAGUUGGUGAGGUAAUGGCUCACCAAGGCGACGAUCAGUAGCCGACCUGAGAGGGUGAUCGGCCACAUUGGAACUGAGACACGGUCCAAACUCCUACGGGAGGCAGCAGUGGGGAAUAUUGCACAAUGGGCGAAAGCCUGAUGCAGCAACGCCGCGUGAGCGAUGAAGGCCUUCGGGUCGUAAAGCUCUGUCCUCAAGGAAGAUAAUGACGGUACUUGAGGAGGAAGCCCCGGCUAAUA